AGAACUGGCACCAGAUAUAAGGUCAUCGACGUAAAAGUCACGGUGAACUGUAGCAGCCCCAACAGAAAACGAUAUUUGCUCUUCCAUUGCCAGCUGAUGCAUCGCCCGCACAGAUAAGUAACGUCCCAUAAGUAACUGUGUCCAGCUGAAACACACGCAAAUCCUCUUGGACGGAAGCCGAACACAAUAAUCGCCGGCUUACAACCGCUGGAAGUGCUUAACAAAUAUUGCCUCUAGUCGCUUGUCUGUGUUAUCCUUAGCAGCCACGGGAGCAACCUUCAAAGAAGACCCAUUCCAGGCGAGUUUUUUUAUCGAUGGCAGUCCUGGCAAUAGUUUGACCUAAGCAACUCACAGGAGUUCGUAAAAAUGACUGGAAAAUUACUCUGGAUCAGCCAGUGGUAUGUUUACUGGCAUGUUCCAGUUGCGGGAAUCUAAUCAGAAGCUUGGCUGACGAUUGGUGAUUCUAGAGGCUACGACAGCAGUGAGGAGAAUUGAGUAUUCUGUCGAGCAAGAGUGCAGGCCAACAUUGACCGAGAUUUCAUCCAUAGUCGAUGAAUUUACCUUGAGCAACUGAAGCUGAUUUGAGAAGCGACAAGGAGCCGAGAAACGGAAUUAAGCAACGCUCGGCCGGGAACCAACAUUCCGCUACGAUUUUUG